rnacentral:rRNA from 1 species
UACGUAGGUGGCAAGCGUUGUCCGGAUUUACUGGGCGUAAAGAGCGCGCAGGCGCCAAGUCAGUCGAAUGUGAAAGCCCCCCGGCUCAACUGGGGGAGGGUCAUUCGAUACUGCUCGGCUCGAAGACAGGAGAGGGAAGUGGAAUUCCUGGUGUAGCGGUGAAAUGCGCAGAUAUCAGGAGGAACACCGAUGGCGAAGGCAGGUCUCUGGGCCAUAACUGACGCUGAGAAGCGAAAGCAUGGGGAGCGAACAGG